AGCGUCGGUUUAAAGUUAUCUGUCUUACUGUUUCUUGUUCUUUACCACAAAUACAAGAUGUCGCCAGAACCGUCAAAGCCUUUCACGACGUGCCCAGGUUAUGUACAAACAGAAGUAUCAGUUUCACCAGAAGCAGAAAGCUCAUCUGCCUAAUAUGCAAAGGGUUAGACCCGACGUGCUUCGGUAUCACAUCUACAACAACCAGCACUACUUCUACAACAACGAGUACAACCACUCCUACUACAACAACUUCCAGUAGCACAACGACUCCUUCUUCCACUACUAGUUCAUCUACCCCUACUACUACUACAUCAACUGCACCUUCGGAAUCAACUUAGUAACUGCUGACUCUUUUCUCUCUCUUCUUCAGUCUUCGAUGAUCAAGUACUAUACAAAGCUGUUUUCAUAUUAGGGUCGACAGAUUUUUUAAAAGUCGGGUUAUCAAUUAUCAAAACAUGUAAUUAAAAUUGAAAUAUCUGUCUGUGAUUUAAAACUUUGUUUUCUCAAGUGCUUUUAUUUAUUUACAUGAUACAAAAACUUUUUUAAGCUUUUUUAAAAUUUUCUUCCGUUUGUCUGGACUAAUCUUCGGAUGGGCUACACCGAUUUUACUGAGACUUUUACUGGACGAUAGAGGAGGUUAUAAAGCAACAUAAAGGCUUAUAUUACGAACAAACCGAUGCUUUGCAUGAAACUCUUUAUUUUAUUAUAAGCCCCGUUCUUGUGAGAACGUAGAGGGCGUGAAUAAUAAAGGUAUAGCCUAUGCCACCCACAAAUAACAAGGUUUUCCAGUGAUAAAAGAACUUUCAAAAUUGAUUCAGUAAAUCCAGAGAUUUCCCCCACAAUACCACAAACAUUACCUGUUUCUAUUAUUAAGUAUUAAAAACUGAAAUUCACGUGUACAAAGUCACAAACUAGUUCGAAAUAAAGAGUUUUAUGAGAAUUAGAUCAGUAAAAUGUAUCUACCGUGUAAUGUAAACUAUCCAAGAAUUCUAAAGCUCCAUUAAAAGGCCUAUUCCUCUUGUAUGCCAUAUUUCUGGUACAUGAUUUGUUACUGGGACGUGCUCUUACUUUAAGUGCUUAAUUAACGAUACUGAAGUAGAACUUAAUGUGGAAUGUUCAUCAACAAUCAAAUAAUGAAUGGGGGUAUAUACCCCUAGUCAUUGUACACCUUAUAAUAAAUUUAUUGAACUUGCUCCUAAAUUUUAUUGACAAUAAAUUAUAAGCUUAGAAUAAUUAG
rnacentral:misc_RNA from 1 species